rnacentral:rRNA from 1 species
GUGCCAGCCGCCGCGGUAAUACCGGCAGCCCGAGUGAUGGCCGAUCUUAUUGGGCCUAAAGCGUCCGUAGCUGGGUCUGAAAGUCCAUCGGGAAAUCCACCCGCCCAACGGGUGGCCGUCCGGUGGAAACUGUACGGCUUGGGACCGGAAGGCGCGACGGGUACGUCCAGGGUAGGAGUGAAAUCCCGUAAUCCUGGACGGACCGCCGAUGGCGAAAGCACGUCGCGAGAACGGAUCCGACAGUGAGGGACGAAAGCUAGGGUCUCGAACCGGAUUAGAUACCCCUGUAGUCC